GAUGAACGCUGGCGGCGUGCCUAAUACAUGCAAGUCGAGCGAACAGAUGAGGAGCUUGCUCCUCUGACGUUAGCGGCGGACGGGUGAGUAACACGUGGAUAACCUACCUAUAAGACUGGGAUAACUUCGGGAAACCGGAGCUAAUACCGGAUAAUAUAUUGAACCGUAUGGUUCAAUAGUGAAAGACGGUUUUGCUGUCACUUAUAGAUGGAUCCGCGCCGCAUUAGCUAGUUGGUAAGGUAACGGCUUACCAAGGCGACGAUGCGUAGCCGACCUGAGAGGGUGAUCGGCCACACUGGAACUGAGACACGGUCCAGACUCCUACGGGAGGCAGCAGUAGGGAAUCUUCCGCAAUGGGCGAAAGCCUGACGGAGCAACGCCGCGUGAGUGAUGAAGGUCUUCGGAUCGUAAAACUCUGUUAUUAGGGAAGAACAAAUGUGUAAGUAACUAUGCACGUCUUGACGGUACCUAAUCAGAAAGCCACGGCUAACUACGUG
rnacentral:rRNA from 1 species